rnacentral:rRNA from 1 species
UACGUAGGGAGCGAGCGUUGUCCGGAUUCAUUGGGCGUAAAGAGCUCGUAGGCGGCUUGGCAAGUCGGGUGUGAAAACUCCAGGCUCAACCUGGAGACGCCACCCGAUACUGCCAUGGCUAGAGUCCGGUAGGGGACCACGGAAUUCCUGGUGUAGCGGUGAAAUGCGUAGAUAUCGGGAGGAACACCUGUGGCGAAAGCGGCGCACUGGACCAUAACUGACGCUGAUGCGUGAAAGCUAGGGGAGCAAACAGG